UUCGGGUAAGUCAGAUGUCAAAUUUCGAUGCUCAACGUCGGAUCGCAUUUGAUACUGCCUGGCUAGAGGAAUUGAGAGGAGGUCGGAAUUCACGGUGUAGCAGUGAAAUGCGUAGAUAUCGUGAGGAAGACCAACGGCGAAAGCAGGCCUCUGGAAAUUUCCUGACACUGAGGCUCGAAGGCCAGGGGAGCAAACGGGAUUAGAUACCCCGGUAGUCCUGGCAGUAAACGGUGCACGUUUGGUGUGGGAGGAUUCGACCCCUUCCGUGCUGAAGCUAACGCGUUAAACGUGCCGCCUGAGAAGUACGGUCGCAAGAUUAAAACUCAAAGAAAUUGACGGGGGCCCGCACAAGCGGUGGAGUAUGUGGCUUAAUUCGAUGCAACGCGAAGAACCUUACCUGGCCUUGACAUGCAGGAGACCGGAAAUGAAAGUUUCCCUUCCGCAAGGACUGCUGCACAGGUGCUGCAUGGCUGUCGUCAGCUCGUGUCGUGAGAUGUUGGGUUAAGUCCCGCAACGAGCGCAACCCUUGUGAACUGUUGCCGAGGUUAAUACCGAGGCCCUCUGUUCAGACUGCCCUGUGAAACGGGGAGGAAGGUGGGGAUGACGUCAAGUCAGCAUGGCCCUUACGGCCAGGGCUGCACACGUACUACAAUGCCCAGUACAGAAUGAUCCAAAACCGCGAGGUGGAGGGAAUCUCGAAAACUGGGCCCAGUUCGGAUUGGAGGCUGCAACUCGCCUCCAUGAAGCCGGAAUCGCUAGUAAUGGCGCAUCAGCUACGGCGCCGUGAAUACGUUCCCGGGCCUUGUACACACCGCCCGUCACAUCAUGGAAGUCUCUUGUUCCCGAAGUCAAAUGGUCAACCGCAAGGAAACCAUUGCCUAAGGGAUGAGCGGUAACUGGGAUGAAGUCGUAACAAGGUAAC
rnacentral:rRNA from 1 species